UUAAUCUGUAUUUACAGUGUGUCUGGCACCAGUGGCCCGCACAUGGUCACAACAGGUGAGACUGAAGCACAAGUUCAACAACAAGAAAUCAUGGCUGAAUCCACGUUCUCACAAAUACAGAAUAUUCCAGGUGGCAACCCAACCUUUGUUUUUACCUGAGGAUUUUCCUGUCAAGGCCUGUCCUCAAUUAGAACGGAAGAAGAAAAUACUGGAGGAGGGUGAUAAUGUGAUGGGUCAUGCGGAGGAGUUUAUCUAUCGGGGCUGUGAGCGUAUGUUUCGGGAGAACAAGAUGAUUGUGGUUUGUCAGAACCUUCCCAGUCCGGCUGUUGACAUAGCCAAGGCAAAAGCAAUGCUUGAUAAAUCAGGCAUGAAGCUAAAAGUAUACAGUAAUAGAUAUGCACGGAUGGCUGUAACUGGAACAGAAUUAGAAAGUAUGAAGCCGUGGUUCCAAGGGAGAAACAUCUUCAUCGUCUCUGAGGAGCAAAAUGUUGUAUCACUUGUCAGAGAUCUCAAGAAAAUACCAUUCUUAAUGUUGUUAGGUAGGUUU